GACGAACCGUGCGAACGUUGUUCGGAAUCACUGGGCUUAAAGGGCGCGUAGGCGGUCUGCCAAGUCCGGGGUGAAAGCCCCCAGCUCAACUGGGGAAGUGCCUUGGAUACUGGCGGACUCGAGGGAGGCAGGGGUUGUGGGAACUUCCGGUGGAGCGGUGAAAUGCGUUGAUAUCGGAAGGAACGCCGGUGGCGAAAGCGCACAACUGGUCCUCUUCUGACGCUGAGGCGCGAAAGCCAGGGGAGCGAACGGG
rnacentral:rRNA from 1 species